UACGGAGGAUCCAAGCGUUAUCCGGAAUCAUUGGGUUUAAAGGGUCCGUAGGCGGUUUAGUAAGUCAGUGGUGAAAGCCCGUCGCUCAACGGCGGAACGGCCAUUGAUACUGCAAGACUUGAAUUAUUGGGAAGCAACUAGAAUAUGUAGUGUAGCGGUGAAAUGCUUAGAGAUUACAUGGAAUACCAAUUGCGAAGGCAGGUUGCUACCAAUACAUUGACGCUGAUGGACGAAAGCGUGGGGAGCGAACAGG
rnacentral:rRNA from 1 species